rnacentral:lncRNA from 1 species
CCUCGGCUUCCCGCUCUUGCCUCACUCUCAGCGGCUGCCUUCGCCCCUGUCUGCAGACAGCGCCGCUGGAUGCUCCCAGCUGGACUUCAACCCCACUCCUCUCAGUCCCUCUCCCCACUGCCUUCCAGACGCGCCUCUUCCCCGCCCCGCGCCCCUCUCUCCUCUCCCACCCCUGCCCCUCUCCGCGGCGCUCACCCUCCUCAGUCCCAGUUUCUGAAAGGACUCAGCUGAGAAAGGACAACUGGGUUCCGCUUUCCUUAACCCUACACCCUUUAGCUGGAUGCUGUCAGAGGCGAUGGAGAAACGCAAAGGGCUACUAGACGCAACAAUAGAAUUACCAUAUUGUUUUUCCUGGUUUGAAAGGACCAGAUGGAAAGAAACUGGGCAAGCCAAUGAAAGUCUCUGGGGAUCAUGGGAAUUGAGUGUCUAUGAAAACCAUAUUCCAGACAAGAAUAUAGUCUAAGGGACACAGCAAGAGGCAACAUUUUGGAAGCAGAGGGCAACUCUCACUGGAAACCAAAUCUCCUGGCACCUUGAUCUUGGAUUUUACAGCCUCCAGAACUGGAUAGCUGGGAGGCAUUACAUAGUCAUGUGCGAGGUCAAAACUGAGUCACCACCACAACCAAGUUCCAGCUGGCAAGAAGAGGAAAAAUAACACAGAGGAGUUAUGACCAGUGUUGUAAGGAUCUGGCCUAGAAAUGGCAUGCAUCUCUUCCACUAAUAUCCUAUUGGUAAAAAUGUAGUCACAUGGGCACACCACCUAUCUGCAUGGAAGGCUGGGAAAUGUUGAUCGGUAGGGCAGCCAUAUGUGUAGGAAGGAGAAAACAGAAUUUGGUGGAUACCUAGUAGUCUCUGCCAUACCCUUGACCAGAAAUUUUUCUUCUAAAGAAUUUAAUUCUAAAAGUUAUAGACAUUCCCAAAGAUAUACCUGCAAGCAUCACAGCUUUGUGUAUAAUUGCAAAAGUUGAAAUCAACAUGAAUGCCCAAAAUAGUGAAUUAUUUAAACAGAUUAUUACCCAUAUUAUGAAGAAAUACUCUGCAACUCUUAAAAAUAAAUGUAAUGUGCCAGGCGCAAUGGGAUAUGCCUGCAGGCCCAGCUACACGGGAGGCCAAGGCAGGAGGAUCACUUGAAAUCAAGAGUUCAAGUCUAGCCUAGACAACAUAGUGAGACUUGGUCUCUAAAAAAGAAAAAAAAAAAUAAAACUGAUGUAAUGAAUAUAUAAUUACAACAAAAGAGGUCUAACACUAUAGUAGAAAAGUUUGGGGCACUCAUCCCAUUCAUAAUUAUUUUACAUUUAAAUUACUGUUCCUACUUAAGUGGUGAGCUUGGUAACCAUUUUCAUAUCAGGUGAUACUGCUGCAGUAAUCAUAGCUGUUUGAAUCAGGAAUAAUCCCAAUCACAUUUUCUCUUAAUCGUUUAUUAUACUGGGCAUUGGGGUUGCAAGAUAAUGCACAGUCCGAGCUCAAUACAUGUCUUCAUGUACCUGUAUGUAAAUCCCACUUUUAUUCUAAAAUUCUUUGAAUAUUUUGUUUCUUGGAACCCAAUGAUCCUAAGAAAAUUAUGUACUUUUAC